rnacentral:rRNA from 1 species
GACAGAGGGUGCAAACGUUUGUUCGGAAUUACUGGGCGUAAAGCGUGUGUAGGCGGUCUCAUAAGUCGGAUGUGAAAGCCCUGGGCUCAACCCAGGAAGUGCACUCGAAACUGCGAGGCUAGAGUAUCGGGAGAGGUUGGUGGAAUUCUCGGUGUAGAGGUGAAAUUCGUAGAUAUCGAGAGGAACACCGGGUGGCGAAGGCGGCCAACUGGACGAAUACUGACGCUGA